GAGCUUAAUCCAUAUAAACAAAUAAAACCAUGAAUGCAUGCCGAGGAAAAAUAUGAUUUGAAGACUAAUUCUUGCCGAAAUGUAGUUAACUUUUUUCUUUUCAUGAACAAAUUAUGUGCUUGUUUCGGAAUAUCAGUUGAAUAUGAUAAUAUAAGAUUAUGGCAACCAUUAUAAGCUUGUGUUUUAGUUUCAAACAAGUCCUAUAAUCUUGCAAUGAAGGGUAUAUAUUAAUAUCUAAAUUGGAAUGCCUAGUGCCCAUUAUAGGGGUUAUCAAAUUCCUACUAGAAAGUAUAAGAGCUGCCAAAAUUGCAUGGUAGAAAAUUUUUCAUGAAAAUACAUUAAUGUAGUGAGAUAAGUAAAGAAAAAC
rnacentral:misc_RNA from 1 species